rnacentral:rRNA from 1 species
UUGGAGGGCAAGUCUGGUGCCAGCAGCCGCGGUAAUUUCCAGCUCCAAUAGCGUAUAUAAAAUUGUUGCAGUUAAAAAGCUCGUAGUUGAAUUUCUGCUGCAUUGCUUUUGCUCCUUUACGAGUCUUUGCAUUGUGGCUUAUUUCGGACUUUGUUUUACAAUGUCCGGAUGUUUACUUUGAGAAAAUUAGAGUGCUCAAAGCAGGCUUUCGCCUUGAAUAGUUUAGCAUGGAAUAAUAAAGUAGGACUUUGGUUCUAUUUUGUUGGUUUUAGGUACCAAAGUAAUGGUUAAUAGGAACAGUUGGGGGCAUUCGUAUUUAACUGUCAGAGGUGAAAUUCUUAG